rnacentral:snoRNA from 1 species
CACCUCUCAGGGUUGCACCUGGAGAGUUUCCAGUACUCUACCAGUCUUGACCAUGGAAGGGAAAGUCAAGCAGAGGCAUUUCCAUUCCUAGCUUGGGCAGUGGCUAGUGAGUGGAAGACAGUCUGCUAUAAGU